rnacentral:rRNA from 1 species
AUGGAUCUACAACGACGUCAGCAACUAGCAGCAAUUGAUCCUGUUCCUGCUCCAACGGACGCCGAACUCGACGAGCGCGCAACACUAUUAAAGAUCAAACCCACAUGUUGUGAUGGCUGGAUUUGUCUGAUCUGUCGACGUCUAAACGAACCCAAGGACAAUCUUCUUUGUAAGAUUCCUCCUUUCAAGUGUGCUACUCGCAACUGCAAGGGCCAGUGCCCAGGGACUGCCGGAAUGAACAUUAAUGACUGUGAAGUAAAUGGAGUGAGAACCAAUUUUGCGAUUAGAGAUCAAGGCCCGAACCCGACCUGCGCAGCUCAUGCAUUAGUGGCCGCCAUGGAUGUUUCAAUUAGAAUCGAGGGAGCGCUCCGGGAGGUUACCAUAUGUCUGCCGCUGAAUAUUGUUGACCUUUUCGCAAAGUAUUAUCCACUCUUUCGGGAAGGUGUGGGGAAUGAAGUAGAAGAAGCCGACAGGAUGAGAAGAAUUCCUAACUUGUUGAGGAUUGCCCAGUUGCUGGGAGUUAAGUAUGUGUGUGCAACGAAAUGCGUCCGAACAGAAAGAGUGCUGAAGUUGAAGUCGUGGUUCCUUUUGAGCACUGCUACUACUGAAGUCGACAAGCUAGUACGUCUGAUUGCUAGCGGGUUCCCCUUACUAGUUGGCAUGAGAACUGGUCGCUGUUUCAAGUUGACAGCAAACAAAGAGUUAUACAGGGGGCCAAACAAGGAGAAAAAUCAUGCCGUUUUGCUUAUUGGAGUGGAAGUAAAUCAGAUAUUUCUCACAGAUGAAACAACCGGCGAGAAUGGGAAGGUUCACAGGGUUCUGUUUAGGGCCAGAGAUUCACAUGGGGAUGACGCUCACAAGUGUGCUGAACUGACAGGGUAUGGUGGUGAUGUGUACCUGUUGCCCGAGGAUCUGGGCUCGCAUGUCUUCGGGUUCCAUCUGGAGAUCCCAAGCUAUCUGACCGUCGCUCCCUGA